rnacentral:rRNA from 1 species
UACGUAGGGGGCAAGCGUUGUCCGGAUUUAUUGGGCGUAAAGAGCUCGUAGGCGGUUUGGUAAGUCAGGUGUGAAAUCUCCACGCUCAACGUGGAGGGGCCACCUGAUACUGCCAUGACUGGAGUCCGGUAGAGGAGUGUGGAAUUCCCGGUGUAGCGGUGAAAUGCGCAGAUAUCAGGAGGAACACCGGUGGCGAAGGCGGGACUCUGGGCCGAUACUGACGCUGAGACGCGAAAGCGUGGGGAGCGAACAGG